AUCGCUUCUCAGCCUUUUGGCUAAGAUCAAGUGUAGUAUCUAAAGUAACAGAUCAGCUUUAAUCAUUUUUAAAUAACUGAUUUUGAGUAUUUAGGUAGAAGGAAGGUAAUUUAGUUUUUCCUAACUUUACCAGAGAAUAAUCACUAUUACACCUGACAUUUCUGAUAAGUCAGGCUAACCCGUU